ACGGGAGGCAGCAGUGGGGAAUCUUAGACAAUGGGGGCAACCCUGAUCUAGCCAUGCCGCGUGAGUGAUGAAGGCCUUAGGGUCGUAAAGCUCUUUCGCCUGUGAUGAUAAUGACUGUAGCAGGUAAAGAAACCCCGGCUAACUCCGUGCCAGCAGCCGCGGUAAUACGGAGGGGGUUAGCGUUGUUCGGAAUUACUGGGCGUAAAGCGCACGUAGGCGGAUUAGAAAGUUGGGGGUGAAAUCCCGAGGCUCAACCCCGGAACUGCCUCCAAAACUGCUAGUCUAGAGUUCGAGAGAGGUGAGUGGAAUUCCGAGUGUAGAGGUGAAAUUCGUAGAUAUUCGGAGGAACACCAGUGGCGAAGGCGGCUCACUGGCUCGAUACUGACGCUGAGGUGCGAAAGUGUGGGGAGCAAACAGGAUUAGAUACCCUGGUAGUCCACACCGUAAACGAUGAAUGCCAGUCGUCGGAUAGUAUACUAUUCGGUGACACACCUAACGGAUUAAGCAUUCCGCCUGGGGAGUACGGUCGCAAGAUUAAAACUCAAAGGAAUUGACGGGG
rnacentral:rRNA from 1 species